rnacentral:rRNA from 1 species
AGCGAACGCUGGCGGCAGGCUUAACACAUGCAAGUCGAGCGGCCAUCUUCGGAUGUCAGCGGCAGACGGGUGCGUAACACGUGGGAACGUACCCUUCGGUUCGGAACAACUCUGGGAAACUGGAGCUAAUACCGGAUACGCCCUUAUGGGGAAAGGUUUACUGCGGAAGGAUCGGCCCGCGUCUGAUUAGCUGGUUGGUGGGGUAACGGCCUACCAAGGCGACGAUCAGUAGCUGGUCUGAGAGGAUGAUCAGCCACACUGGGACUGAGACACGGCCCAGACUCCUACGGGAGGCAGCAGUGGGGAAUAUUGGACAAUGGGCGCAAGCCUGAUCCAGCCAUGCCGCGUGAGUGAUGAAGGCCUUAGGGUUGUAAAGCUCUUUUGUCCGGGACGAUAAUGACGGUACCGGAAGAAUAAGCCCCGGCUAACUUCGUG